CUUCCGGAGCUAACGCGUUAAGUAGACCGCCUGGGGAGUACGGCCGCAAGGUUAAAACUCAAAUGAAUUGACGGGGGCCCGCACAAGCGGUGGAGCAUGUGGUUUAAUUCGAUGCAACGCGAAGAACCUUACCUGGUCUUGACAUCCACAGAACUUUCCAGAGAUGGAUUGGUGCCUUCGGGAACUGUGAGACAGGUGCUGCAUGGCUGUCGUCAGCUCGUGUUGUGAAAUGUUGGGUUAAGUCCCGCAACGAGCGCAACCCUUAUCCUUUGUUGCCAGCGAUUAGGUCGGGAACUCAAAGGAGACUGCCAGUGAUAAACUGGAGGAAGGUGGGGAUGACGUCAAGUCAUCAUGGCCCUUACGACCAGGGCUACACACGUGCUACAAUGGCGCAUACAAAGAGAAGCGACCUCGCGAGAGCAAGCGGACCUCAUAAAGUGCGUCGUAGUCCGGAUUGGAGUCUGCAACUCGACUCCAUGAAGUCGGAAUCGCUAGUAAUCGUGGAUCAGAAUGCCACGGUGAAUACGUUCCCGGGCCUUGUACACACCGCCCGUCACACCAUGGGAGUGGGUUGCAAAAGAAGUAGGUAGCUUAACCUUCGGGAGGGCGCUUACCACUUUGUGAUUCAUGACUGGGGUGAAGUCGUAACAAGGUAACCGUAGGGGAACCUGCGGUUGGAUCACCUCCUUACCUUAAAGAA
rnacentral:rRNA from 2 species